rnacentral:rRNA from 1 species
UACGUAGGGUGCGAGCGUUAAUCGCAAUUACUGGGCGUAAAGAGCGCGCAGGCGGUCGUUCAAGUCGCGUGUGAAAGCCCCCGGCUCAACUGGGGAGGGUCACGCGAUACUGAUCGACUCGAAGGCAGGAGAGGGUAGUGGAAUUCCCGGUGUAGCGGUGAAAUGUGUAGAGAUCGGGAGGAACACCGGUGGCGAAGGCGGGUCUCUGGGCAUUUCCUGACGCUGAGGCGCGAAAGCGUGGGGAGCAAACGGG